CCAUCCCUGGUCAUCACCAUCGCUGCCACGACUCAAGAAUGUUGCCAACAGUAACCAAGUGAGAGGCCACUGCGGUGAAGACACUGACAAGUCAGAGAUCCCAGAAGAUGUAUAAUGAGUGAAGUCUUGUUCCAUAUGAUAUUCCAAGGGACAUUUGUUAUAAACAUCAUUAAAUCACCAGUCUAAAGUUAUUGAAUUCUGAAUAAGCUUUGUACUCCAUGACCUAUUUGCAUAUAUGAUUUUCUAACAUUGUUGGCUUUGGGGCGGGGGCAGUCACUAAUAUUUCUGAGGUAGCCACUUCUGUGAAACAACCUCACUGAGAAAGCCGUCAUACCCAUAGGGAGUUGGGGGGUUCACAAAGUCAAAUUGAUUCAUACAUGAUAUGAAAUGGAUUCACACAUGAUAUUUUAGAUACUAUUAACAUGGACCAUCAAGCUAUUUUAUUAUAUAUCGUAUAUAUCAGAAACAAAUGUGUAAAAAUAAUUUUAGGAAUCUAUUAAAUAUGGCAUUUUGCCAUUAUCUCAAUAAAGUUUAUAACACAAAGAUACUAUAUGUCAAAUCAGGUAAUGCCAAAUUUCAGUCUGAAGGAAAUAUAUUCUUUGGAGUGAUUGAAAUGCAUCAGUGUGGUCCUCUGUAGUUCACUUGAUAGAGCAUACAUGCUUGCAAUACCAGGAUAGUGGGUUAAAUUCCCAGGUUCACGAGUGUUAGCUUUCAGUAAUUGGUGUCACAACUGCUCCUGCUACGCCCUCUGGUGUUUAUCCGGUGUCUACUUGACCUGCAGUUACACUCUCUUUCUCUCCCUCUCUGUGUGAUUGUGUGGUUGGAGACAGGUGUGCUGGAGUCGGAGCAGAUCCGAACCAGCUUCAACUCGUUCCAUAAUCAAGACCUCUACAAAUACUCAGUCCUGCCAGUUCCACUCUGCCAGAUUUUACCUCUCUAUCUCUGUCUCCUGUUCCACAUCUCACCACCCAACUACCUUACUCUGGAUUUUACUCACCACCACUACCUUGGAUUCCUCUCAGGACCUGUUCACCCUGUUCUACUCAGCCAACUCCAACCUCAGUCUCCACAUCUCACCACCACUACCUUGGAAUCCCCUCGGGACCUGUUCACCCUGUUCUACUCAGCUAACUUCAACCUCAGUCUCCACAUCUGGUUUUCUGCAACUCAUCCGAGAUUCCCCGGAUCUGCACUCCAUAUCUCUCUGUGUAACAAAUAUUUUGGUUCAUUCAUCCCUGUUUCCUCAUCUGAGUCUGCUUUUGGGUUCCCCUGUGUCCCUCCGCUUAACAAUUGGUUCUCCAACCAUUCAAAAGCUAGCGCCAAAUUCGAAGGUGUCACGCCUUGGUCAUAGUGUUUUGUGUUUUCGUUAAUUAUUUGGUCAGGCCAGGGUGUGACAUGGGUUUAUGUGUUGUGUUUCGUAUUGGGGUUUUAUAGGAUUUGGGAUUGCGAUGAUUAGGGGUGUGUCUAGUUAGGCUUGGCUGCCUGAGGUGGUUCUCAAUCAGAGUCAGGUGAUUCUUGUUGUCUCUGAUGGGGAACCGUAUUUAGGUAGCCUGGGUUUCACUUUGUAUUUCGUGGGUGAUUGUUCCUGUCUCUGUGUAGUGUUCACCAGAUAGGCUGUAAUUAGGUUUCACGUUCCGUUUGUUGUUUUGUUUGUUCAGUUAUUUCAUUCAUUAAAGACAUGAGUAACCACCA